ACCUGCGGAAGGAUCAUUACCGAGUGAGGGCCCUUUGGGUCCAACCUCCCACCCGUGUUUAUUUUACCUUGUUGCUUCGGCGGGCCCGCCUUUACUGGCCGCCGGGGGGCUCACGCCCCCGGGCCCGCGCCCGCCGAAGACACCCCCGAACUCUGUCUGAAGAUUGAAGUCUGAGUGAAAAUAUAAAUUAUUUAAAACUUUCAACAACGGAUCUCUUGGUUCCGGCAUCGAUGAAGAACGCAGCGAAAUGCGAUACGUAAUGUGAAUUGCAAAUUCAGUGAAUCAUCGAGUCUUUGAACGCACAUUGCGCCCCCUGGUAUUCCGGGGGGCAUGCCUGUCCGAGCGUCAUUGCUGCCCUCAAGCCCGGCUUGUGUGUUGGGCCCCGUCCUCCGAUUCCGGGGGACGGGCCCGAAAGGCAGCGGCGGCACCGCGUCCGGUCCUCGAGCGUAUGGGGCUUUGUCACCCGCUCUGUAGGCCCGGCCGGCGCUUGCCGAUCAACCCAAAUUUUUAUCCAGGUUGACCUCGGAUCAGGUAGGGAUACCCGCUGAACUUAAGCAUAUC
rnacentral:rRNA from 1 species